UACAGAGGGUGCAAGCGUUGUUCGGAAUUAUUGGGCGUAAAGCGCGUGUAGGCGGCUUUGCAAGUCGGGUGUGAAAGCCCUCAGCUUAACUGAGGAAGUGCGCCCGAAACUGCAGAGCUUGAGUACCGGAGAGGAUGGCGGAAUUCCCCAAGUAGAGGUGAAAUUCGUAGAUAUGGGGAGGAACACCGGUGGCGAAGGCGGCCAUCUGGACGGAUACUGACGCUGAGGAGCGAAAGCUAGGGGAGCAAACAGG
rnacentral:rRNA from 1 species